CUGUUUCUGGGCGGUGGCGCGGCGGCGCUGUGGUUGGCGCGCCGCACGCUGGGCAGCGUGCAUUGGUUCGAGGCCAGCGUGACGGA
rnacentral:tRNA from 1 species